GACAGAGCCAUCUGCCCACAGUUACCUACACCUUAUUUGAGAACAUCAAUGGCAGUGCACCUUACGAACUAUUCGCGCAUUGGCGAACAGCGCUUGAAGAGAUGUGCGUCCUCUGUGUGAGAGGGUAACUUAGAUGCGUUGCAGAAUCACUGUAGAAUCGCGAUUUAGCUGCGGGGCAUGAAAGAAGACGUGCACGGAUCGACCUCAUGGCUACAUCCAGCCAUUCUUUUUAAACAGCGCCGUGCACAGCCCAAGUACUUAAGUACGAGUAACCGCAAGUAAAGGCGCAACUGGUUCGCUCGUUUGGAUGCUAUUAGGAAGAACAACUACACAAGCAGUAACCGUAAGGAGCGGCACCAUGCCCCGGGCAGAGUGAGCGGCCGUAGGCGGCGCCGUGUCUCGGCGAUGCGCCAAGCAUGACCGCGGCCUGCUGCAGCGCCACACGUCGCCGCACCGCGGACACACUUAUGCUGUUGCUGCUUUUUUUACCAUUGCUGAAUGUAACAUCUGGAACCAAGGAGACAGAAGAGGAAGAUGUGUAUAAAGUCUUACUACCAUCUAGUCAGACAUUAUUGAAAAAGCAUGUACAAGCCAUAUCCAAUUACCAAGAUCCAAAGGCUGUGGAGAAAGAGAAUUUUGUUGCUAUUGUAAAUCAACCAGGAGUUACAUUUGUCCAUAAAAGAGCUAUUUCAAGUGGUGAAUUGGAUCUAUUAGAGCUUAAUUCUGUACAGUCUAAAAAUGGGCACAGUGACAGUGAUUCCAGUAGGAAAGCAAGUGUCUUCCAUGAACAGAUCACUACUGCACUGUCUGCUGACCCAGACAAACUAUUAAACCCAAAUAAGGAACAUCCAAGUUUACAAGUUGUAAAUACUGCAGCCAUAUGGAAGAAUGUGUUUGAAACAAGUGCAAAUGCCCCAGUAUUAAAGAAAGUUGGAGACAAAAGUGUAUUUUUGUACAACAUAAAUUCGAACACAAAAAGUGAAAGAUUUAACAAAGUGGACAGUGAAUUUCAGUAUGGUUUCCAAAACAUAAAUUCUCAUAGUUUGAAGAAGAACAAGAGGUCUGUCAUUACCCUUGGUGAUUCAGAAACUGUACAGACAGUGGACUGUGCGAACAGGUCAUCAGUAAAUAGCACUUGUGGAAAUGAUGGUAGGUUUAACUUCGUGCCUGGCAGUGAUGAUUCCAGCAGAACUGCAAGUAAUAUUCAGCUGAACAAUACUUCCAGUGACAGAAAUCGUAAAAGCGUGAAAGACUUUAGCAUGUUUACACAAUCAAGACUGACAUUGCCAUUUCAAAAAAAGAAGUUAGUUGAUAUUACAGAUAGCAGUAUGGGUUACAGAUCACCAUCAACUAUUGAUUCUUCUCAGAAACAUCAACCACCUUCAGGGAACAGCAGUGAAACCAGCGCUAUUGCAAGCAGAUCAAUAAACAUAUCAUACUCGAUCCCCAGUGUGAAGUCAGCUGGAAGAUUAUCAGCUACAACCAUCCCUCCUGAAGGUCUGGAUGCUGCAUCAAUAACAGGAAUUACUGUGGGAUUAGUUGUCUUCCUUGGCAUAGUAGGUGCCAUGUGCUUCAUUCUUUAUAAGCGGAGGAACCAAAACAAACCACAGACGCUGAGUGACAAAAGCAGCAACCCUGAUUCCAGUGUAUACAUCGAAGAAAGCUCUGAUGACUCAGAGGAAAUGUAUAGUUUAGAUAAUGAUUCUUUCUUGAAUAGUCUAGAAGCCAUGACUAUCCAGAACUACUGGACAGAAAAUGUCAAACAUACCAAACUAUAGGAGAGUUAUUAUAUAUAUAUAUAUAUAUAUAUAUAUAUAUAUUAUUUAAUAGAAACUAUGACAGAUUUUAGAUGUCUGUUUAGUAGACCAAAGAUGGUGGAAAAACUGGACUGCUUUACAUUAAGGUUCCACUAGUUACAGUUUAGAUUCCUGGUAGUUGAAGAUGAGAGAGAUGCCUUUAUUGGACAAUUAUGAACACUUUGUUGGGACUGAAGACUUCUGUGUUUGACCAAGGAAAGAGUACAAAUGACUGAAUAUAGUGAUCUUUUUAUGUAUUAAAUGAAAAAUCUCGUAUUGUAUUCUGUAAUUUUACCUAUUUUGACAUAAUUACAUUUCAUUAAAUUAAUCAUUAAAAGUAUUUCUUUAGAAA